UACGUAGAAGACUAGUGUUAUUCAUCUUUAGUAGGUUUUAAAAGGGGUACCCUAGACGGUAAAAAUUUAGUCCCAAAAACAGGAUACGGUUUUUACUAGAGUUAUAUAUGAGGAGGUGAGUAUUUAUGGAGUAGAGUUGAAAUUCUUUGAUACCUUAACGACUGGUAACGGCGAAAGCACCUUUUAUCUAAAUAACUGACGUUGAGGGACGAAGGCCUGGGUAACGAACAGG
rnacentral:rRNA from 1 species